GAUGAACGCUGGCGGCGUGCCUAAUACAUGCAAGUCGAGCGAACGGACGAGAAGCUUGCUUCUCUGAUGUUAGCGGCGGACGGGUGAGUAACACGUGGAUAACCUACCUAUAAGACUGGGAUAACUUCGGGAAACCGGAGCUAAUACCGGAUAAUAUUUUGAACCGCAUGGUUCAAAAGUGAAAGACGGUCUUGCUGUCACUUAUAGAUGGAUCCGCGCUGCAUUAGCUAGUUGGUAAGGUAACGGCUUACCAGGGCAACGAUGCAUAGCCGACCUGAGAGGGUGAUCGGCCACACUGGAACUGAGACACGGUCCGGACUCCUACGGGAGGCAGCAGUAGGGAAUCUUCCGCAAUGGGCGAAAGCCUGACGGAGCAACGCCGCGUGAGUGAUGAAGGUCUUCGGAUCGUAAAACUCUGUUAUUAGGGAAGAACAUAUGUGUAAGUAACUGUGCACAUCUUGACGGUACCUAAUCAGAAAGCCACGGCUAACUACGUG
rnacentral:rRNA from 1 species